CGACGCCGCGUGGAGGAUGAAGGGUCUAGGCCUGUAAACUCCUUUUUAUGGGGAAAGACUUAGGACGGUACCCCAUGAAUAAGGACCGGCUAACUACGUGC
rnacentral:rRNA from 1 species